rnacentral:rRNA from 1 species
UACUUCGUUGGGUAGUCAGCGCGGUAGAGGUGGAGUACCGUUGUACAUGCCGCUGUUGUGCGUUGGUGUCGGAGUUGCUUUACCUUAGCCCAAGUGACAAAAGAUAGGCUUAGCUGGUGGUGGUAUCGGCGUCCCGCUGCCUAGGGUUGGUGUUAUAGUGUGCGCGGAAAUAGGGCUUAGGUGGUGGCCCAUUGGUACCCUCUUUUAUGGUGGAGAGGGUUCUGUUGGUGUGCUUUGUAAGGAUUGUAAAGGUGUGUGUGUUUUCUUUUCUUUUUUGUGUGUCUCUUCUUUGUGUACGCGGGUUUAGGCACCGUUGUUACACAACAUGGGUGUCGAGGUGAGGAAAAAGGAGGCGUUCUUUUGUCUUUUUAUUUAACAACUCUUUGCUUUACUCUCCCUUCGAUGCUGAACACGCGCAACCGACCGGGAGGAAAACUGGUCCGCUGGCGUCGCUGCGUUUUUUGUUGAGCUUUCGCCUCCGCUCUUUCUUUCGUAAAAAAAAGACAAUUUGUUACCCCCGUUACGCGUGUGCUCUCGCUUUCGGUGUAUCGAUCUCUCUCUUUCCGCUACCGCUCCCGCUCUCUCCCUCUCUCUGGUAGUGUCGAAGAAGCAGAGCAGAGGAUGGAGGGAAUAGAGAAAGUAGUUAGGGUGGUGGUGGGGGGAGGAAAAGAGGAGGUGGAGGUAAUAAGGGGGAGGGGGUGGAGCGUGGAGAGGGAGAGAUGUAUAUGGGGAGCGGGGGGCAAGGUGUGAUGGGUGGAGUGGGUGAGGGGGGAAGAGGGGGGGAGGAGAACAGUGUUAGUUAGUUCUUGCAUGACCUUCCUUCNNNNNNNUCCUUCUUGGCUCGUUCUUGGCAGAGAGGAGAGGGGCCGCGAGAAUUGCUCUUGCGUCUCAGAGAAAACUUGGGAACAAUCGUCGCCUGUCCGGAAGGAGGCAGUACACGAGGCCGGGCGCGUUCGGCAGCUGGGGCGGCGGCCGCCGCCGCCGCGGGUUCCUAGGCCGCCGGCACCGGAGCGACGAGGACCUCGACCGCCGCCGCCUGCUGCACCAACUCAAGUCCGCCCAGCACCUCCUCCUCUUCCGCACGGAACUACGGCGCCCUAGCACCAUACCCGGGAGCCGACAGCCGGUCCCUGCCGACCGGCGCCUCUCGGCCUGCGGCCGGUACCAGCGGCGCGAGAUGCCCUCGUGCCGGCACGACCGCGUGCGCGACAGGCAGCGCGGCCCGCUCCGGACGGCGCGCAGGCCGUGCCUGCCGCGGUGGCGCGACGUAUACCGACGGCGGCCACCGCGCCGGUUGCGGCAGCGCCGGUGCGUGGACGACGAGCGGCGCCCCCGGAGGUGCCUCCGCGAGAGCCACAGGCCCGAGGCGCGGCCCCUGGACGAGGGCGCGCGGCGGCCGCACCGGCUCUUCGGGGAGGCGGACGACGAGUUCAGGGGGCGGCACAGCGGGAGGAGCAGCGGGUUCUUCAGGCGGAGCGGCGGACGCCGCUACCGGCGGCGCGUCCUCGGGUCCUUCCUCAUGGGCGGCCUGGAGUGCGACGGCCUGGAGUUCUCGCCCGAGAAGUCGUGGCUGCUCAAGGCGUACAUGUCGAAGUUCCACUUCGGGACGAGGGCGCGGAUGAGGGUGCUGACCUGUCUCACGGGGAAGCACGUGGGGCCGCUCUUGCGCGCGGCGGCGCUGGGCGCGGCGAUGAGGAUGUCGACGCACGGGACGGGCCUCAAGGCGUUCCCGCCCAGGACGGCGUUCCCGCUGCCGACGCUCAUGCGCGUGCCGCAGAAGCUCACGACCGAGGUGGGCCGCGUCAUGGCCUGCGCGGAGACGUUCCUGCUCCAGCCGACGCGCGCGGCGUAGACGAAGAAGCGGGUGUCCGCGCUGCUCGAGGCGAGGCAGUUGGGGAGGCGGCAGAGGCACCCGUACUACGUCGGGCACAGGGGCGCGAGGAGCGGGGGGUUGCCCUACCUGUACCCCUACGAGUUGGGGCGCCCCACCGGCAGCAGCGGCCAGUCGGCCGAGUUCUGCCGCGCCCUCGAGCUGAAGCUGGACCUCUACGAGCGCGACCUGGUCAUGGUCGUCUUCGACAAGCUGUUCCACAGGUCGUCGCGCGUGAGCGGCUCCCGCUCGACCCCGCGCGGGUUGCCGCCGGAGCCGAGCGGCGUGCGGCGGCCCAGCGGGCGGUCUUUGUACGGCCUGAUGUGGCUGGACGACCCGAGGUACCUGGGCCGGUACGAGAGGGUCGAGGUGCGCGACAGCGACUUCGUCCGCCCGCUGUACAGCGGCAUGUCGAGGUACGGCCUGUGCGGCGACGUGUACGGCUGGAGCGGCUACCACCCGCGCUUGUUGAGCAAGCCGGAGCUGGUGAGGUACCGGUUCCGGUAGUACUGGAGGGCGCGGAGGCGCAAGCGGUUCGCAUCGGUCUCGAAGUAGCUGGCGCCGCGCGCGCGGGGCCGGCGCGCGAGGGAGUACAGCGGCCGGUGGUGCUAGCCGCUCGGAAGGUACGAGUGGCUGACCCCGAGGGGGUUGCCGCCGUUGGAGCUGACCCCGAGUGGGCCGCCGUUCGACCUGACCCCGCACGUCCCUCUGCUCGACGUGUUCAAGGCGUUCAGCCGCAGGAAGCCCAAGGCGCCCGUCAGGCGGUACGGCCGCCGGAGGCGUCGGUGCGGCCGGCUUGGGCUGCACAGUACCCACUUGAGAGAACAGUUCCUACCGGUGUGUCCGCUGGUAAAAGGCGUCACCGACCUCGUCCUCGUCUACCACCGGACUAGGGUGGGGCAGCUGCUGGUUGGCUAGCUAGUGACCGAGUAUCGUAGAUCGACUGGUUUCAAGAAAGGAAGUUUAAAAAAGUGGGGAAAAAUAAACGAAUUAAACUAAGUAUACUCUACCAAGAAAUCAUGCAUGUAUAUACGACAAGUGUUUUUAUUGUAACGACGAGUAGUCGUUAGUCGUACCUACGGGUUUCCCUCGGAAUCCAACUACUUCUUUCUUGUCGGUUAUAAAUGAGAGAAAAGGGGGGGAAAGGGAAGCCAAAUAAUAUUUAUCGACAUAUGUUCUUAAGGUAGUUCUCAAAUAAAUGAACUAUAAAUAUGUAUGAAACUCUGGUCGUUCUAAACGAAACACACGAAGUAACAGAGAACUAACUAGUUUGAACACGUUAUAACAUGAGAAGAGUACGGUUUCAUGUAGUUACCUUAGUACCUUCACAAGUGGUCGUAUAUCAUAUACAAGAACCAAGGAGGAGGUACUAGUGUAGUGGGAAAUAAACUAAGGUAAGGUACAGGUAAGGUAAGGGGUUUUCUCACCUAGUAUUUAUUUUUGCAGUCCCCUAGGCCGAGGGAGGACUUCACCGACCACCCAGUAUCCUACACUUGACGUCCCGUUAGUGUCCAAUCGAAUCACCUCUACCUCCGCAGUACGUGGCUAAUAAUCAUCACGAGAGUUAUGUUAUAUAGUAGUCUUUCCGUUCACGGUACGUGGGUUUCGUUCGCGUAUCAUCUCAUCCAUUAAUAAUAACAAGACCGACACCCAAUCCGUGUCUCCUGUCCUUAAUCCGGGUUUUUAGACCCGUAUUCGCAGUGGUUCUAUUCGAAACCAAUAGACGAGUAAUAGGAUUACGACGGUUACAACUUAAAAAGGAAACUGUUCUCGUAAAAAGAAGAUCUUGUAACCUGGACCCCGUAGGUAAAAGGAACGAACAAAAAACAAGAGGACAAACAAUCUUAUAUAUCUACUACUUUGUUCACAACUACAGGUACGACAGAGAACAAAUAAAAACAUACGCCCACGUCGACAACCCAAGUGUUAAUAAACGUCGACAUAAACUCAUAAGUUCAGGACCGGUACGAGUUCGUAACAAGAACGUCAACCCCGUCUAAAACCUGAUAGGAUUGAGAUGUUUACGCGUAGGUCUACAGACCCCGAUAAUUGUUGCAUUAGAGGUCGUCGUAGAGAGACCACAAUGACGAAUAUAAAUAAAG